rnacentral:ncRNA from 1 species
UAAGCGACGAAGAACAGAACCAGUAAAAGUUUGGCUGAUUUCAAGAGAGUCUCGGGUGGUGGGAAGAGAUAAUCGGCGGCUUUGAAACACAUCUGUGAGUUGACCACUGCAAAGGUGGUCCGGGGAAGCCCGUUACAGCGCAGAGUUUAGAAUUUGAACUCACUAAGGUUGUUUUCGUGAGGAAGCAACAAGAUGAGGUGGAACCGCGGCAACGCCCUCUGA